rnacentral:SRP_RNA from 1 species
GCCGGGCGUGGUAGGGCAUGCCUGUAAUCCCAGCUACUUGGGAGGCUGAGACAGGAGAAUCGCUUGAACCCGGGAGGCAGAGGUUGCAGUGAGCCAAGAUUGCGCCACUGCACUCCAGCCUGGGUGAUAGAGUGAGAUUCAGUCUCAA